ACAAAGGACGGCUGGUGGCUGUGCGCCCCACUGCUAUAGCAGGCACUGCAGAGCAGGCUGGAUGCGCCGACGUCCACGGAUCUUAAUAUGGAGAGUGAACCCAAAUCCUUUUAACCACGAUGAGUGCUUUGGACAACGCAUUCCGCUCUGUGGCCUUGGUCAUAUUUCCAAACCCCGGUCUGUAGAUGUAUUUCUGAAAACAAAAUCACCAGUCAAUGGACAUAAGUGCCGUAAGAACUUGUGAGCUACUGAAGACGGAACCAGGCUUUUCGAUAGGGCCUGACAUUUUUUAAAGGAUUUCCAGUCAUGACAGGACCUCAGAUCAUACAGCUGUGAAGCACUCUCUCGCACACUGGGCCCU